rnacentral:rRNA from 1 species
AGAGUUUGAUUUUGGCUCAGGAUGAACGCUGGCGGCGUGCUUAACACAUGCAAGUCGAACGGAGUUUACAUGUGAGCGGAGAAAUGCUUGCAUUUUGACAAUCUUUUGUAAACUUAGUGGCGGACGGGUGAGUAACGCGUGGGUAACCUGCCGUAUGCAGGGGGACAACAGUUGGAAACGACUGCUAAUACCGCAUAAGCGCACAGUAUUGCAUGAUACAGUGUGAAAAGAUUUAUCGGCAUACGAUGGACCCGCGUCUGAUUAGCUAGUUGGUGAGGUAACGGCUCACCAAGGCGACGAUCAGUAGCCGGCCUGAGAGGGUGGACGGCCACAUUGGGACUGAGACACGGCCCAAACUCCUACGGGAGGCAGCAGUGGGGAAUAUUGGACAACGGGGGCAACCCUGAUCCAGCGACGCGGCGUGAGUGAAGAAGUAUUUCGGUAUGUAAAGCUCUAUCAGCAAGGAAGAAAAUGACGGUACUUGACUAAGAAGCCCCGGCUAACUACGUGCCAGCAGCCGCGGUAAUACGUAGGGGGCAAGCGUUAUCCGGAUUUACUGGGUGUAAAGGGAGCGUAGACGGUUUUGUAAGUCUGAAGUGAAAGCCCGGGGCUCAACCCCGGGACUGCUUUGGAAACUAUAGAACUAGAGUGCAGGAGAGGUAAGUGGAAUUCCUAGUGUAGCGGUGAAAUGCGUAGAUAUUAGGAGGAACACCAGUGGCGAAGGCGGCUUACUGGACUGUAACUGACGUUGAGGCUCGAAAGCGUGGGGAGCAAACAGGAUUAGAUACCCUGGUAGUCCACGCCGUAAACG